rnacentral:rRNA from 1 species
UACGGGGGGGGCAAGCGUUGUUCGGAAUUACUGGGCGUAAAGCGCGUGUAGGCGGUUGUCCAAGUUGGAUGUGAAAGCCUUGAGCUUAACUCAAGAAAUGCAUUCAGGACUGGAUGACUAGAGGACCGGAGAGGAUAGUGGAAUUCCCAGUGUAGUGGUGAAAUACGUAGAGAUUGGGAAGAACACCAGUGGCGAAGGCGGCUAUCUGGACGGUUUCUGACGCUAAGACGCGAAAGCGUGGGGAGCAAACAGG